rnacentral:rRNA from 1 species
AGAGUUUGAUCCUGGCUCAGGACGAACGCUGGCGGCGUGCCUAACACAUGCAAGUCGAGCGGGGGACUUCGGUCCCUAGCGGCGGACGGGUGAGUAACACGUGGGUAACCUGCCUUGUAGAGGGGGAUAGCCUUCCGAAAGGAAGAUUAAUACCGCAUAACAUUAUUUUGUCGCAUGGCAGAAUAAUCAAAGGAGCAAUCCGCUACAAGAUGGACCCGCGGCGCAUUAGCUAGUUGGUGAGGUAACGGCUCACCAAGGCGACGAUGCGUAGCCGGCCUGAGAAGGUGAACGGCCACAUUGGAACUGAGACACGGUCCAGACUCCUACGGGAGGCAGCAGUGGGGAAUAUUGCACAAUGGGCGAAAGCCUGAUGCAGCAACGCCGCGUGAGUGAUGAAGGCCUUCGGGUUGUAAAGCUCUGUCUUCUGGGACGAUAAUGACGGUACCCAAGGAGGAAGCCACGGCUAACUACGUGCCAGCAGCCGCGGUAAUACGUAGGUGGCAAGCGUUGUCCGGAUUUACUGGGCGUAAAGGGAGCGUAGGUGGAUAUUUAAGUGGGAUGUGAAAUCCCCGGGCUUAACCUGGGGGCUGCAUUCCAAACUGGAUGUCUAGAGUGCAGGAGAGGAGAGUGGAAUUCCUAGUGUAGCGGUGAAAUGCGUAGAGAUUAGGAAGAACACCAGUGGCGAAGGCGACUCUCUGGACUGUAACUGACACUGAGGCUCGAAAGCGUGGGGAGCAAACAGGAUUAGAUACCCUGGUAGUCCACGCCGUAAACGAUGGGUACUAGGUGUAGGGGUUUCG